rnacentral:rRNA from 1 species
GACGAACGCUGGCGGCGUGCCUAAUACAUGCAAGUAGAACGCACAGUUUAUACCGUAGCUUGCUACACCAUAGACUGUGAGUUGCGAACGGGUGAGUAACGCGUAGGUAACCUGCCUGGUAGCGGGGGAUAACUAUUGGAAACGAUAGCUAAUACCGCAUAAUAUUAAUUAUUGCAUGAUAAUUGAUUGAAAGAUGCAACUGCAUCACUACCAGAUGGACCUGCGUUGUAUUAGCUAGUAGGUGAGGUAACGGCUCACCUAGGCGACGAUACAUAGCCGACCUGAGAGGGUGAUCGGCCACACUGGGACUGAGACACGGCCCAGACUCCUACGGGAGGCAGCAGUAGGGAAUCUUCGGCAAUGGACGAAAGUCUGACCGAGCAACGCCGCGUGAGUGAAGAAGGUUUUCGGAUCGUAAAGCUCUGUUGUAAGAGAAGAACGGGUGUGAGAGUGGAAAGUGCACACUGUGACGGUAUCUUACCAGAAAGGGACGGCUAACUACGU